rnacentral:rRNA from 1 species
UGGUUCUGUAUGGAAGGGCCAUCGCUCAACGGAUAAAAGGUACUCUGGGGAUAACAGGCUGAUACCGCCCAAGAGUUCAUAUCGACGGCGGUGUUUGGCACCUCGAUGUCGGCUCAUCUCAUCCUGGGGCUGAAGCAGGUCCCAAGGGUAUGGCUGUUCGCCAUUUAAAGAGGUACGCGAGCUGGGUUUAGAACGUCGUGAGACAGUUCGGUCCCUAUCUACCGUGGGCGCUGGAAAUUUGAGAGGAUCUGCUCCUAGUACGAGAGGACCAGAGUGGACGAACCUCUGGUGUACCGGUUGUGACGCCAGUCGCAUCGCCGGGUAGCUAUGUUCGGAAGGGAUAACCGCUGAAAGCAUCUAAGCGGGAAGCCUACCUCAAGAUAAGAUUUCCCUAGGACUUUAUGUCCUCUAAAGAGCCGUUCGAGACUAGGACGUUGAUAGGUUGGAUGUGGAAGCAUAGUGAUAUGUGAAGCUGACCAAUACUAAUUGCUCGUGAGGCUUGACUAU